rnacentral:tRNA from 1 species
AGAAACUUAGGUUAAAAUAAACCAGAGGCCUUCAAAGCCCCAAACAAGAGACCACUCUUAGCUUCUG